rnacentral:rRNA from 1 species
AUAGGGCGUUUAGUAUUUGGUCGUAGACCCGAAACCAGGUGAUCUACCCUUUGUCAGGUUGAAGUUCAGGUAACACUGAAUGGAGGACCGAACCGACUUACGUUGAAAAGUGAGCGGAUGAACUGAGGGUAGCGGAGAAAUUCCAAUCGAACCUGGAGAUAGCUGGUUCUCUCCGAAAUAGCUUUAGGGCUAGCCUCAAGUGAUGAUUAUUGGAGGUAGAGCACUGUUUGGACGAGGGGCCCCUCUCGGGUUACCGAAUUCAGACAAACUCCGAAUGCCAAUUAAUUUAACUUGGGAGUCAGAACAUGGGUGAUAAGGUCCGUGUUCGAAAGGGAAACAGCCCAGACCACCAGCUAAGGUCCCAAAAUAUAUGUUAAGUGGAAAAGGAUGUGGCGUUGCCCAGACAACUAGGAUGUUGGCUUAGAAGCAGCCAUCAUUUAAAGAGUGCGUAAUAGCUCACUAGUCGAGUGACACUGCGCCGAAAAUGUACCGGGGCUAAACAUAUUACCGAAGCUGUGGAUUGUCCUUUGGACAAUGGUAGGAGAGCGUUCUAAGGGCGUUGAAGCAUGAUCGUAAGGACAUGUGGAGCGCUUAGAAGUGAGAAUGCCGGUGUGAGUAGCGAAAGACGGGUGAGAAUCCCGUCCACCGAUUGACUAAGGUUUCCAGAGGAAGGCUCGUCCGCUCUGGGUUAGUCGGGUCCUAAGCUGAGGCCGACAGGCGUAGGCGAUGGAUAACAGGUUGAUAUUCCUGUACCACCUAUAAUCGUUUUAAUCGAUGGGGGGACGCAGUAGGAUAGGCGAAGCGUGCGAUUGGAUUGCACGUCUAAGCAGUAAGGCUGAGUAUUAGGCAAAUCCGGUACUCGUUAAGGCUGAGC